rnacentral:rRNA from 1 species
UCCCGAAGCGUGUGCUAAGUGGGAAAGGAUGUGGAGUCGCAUAGACAGCCAGGAGGUUGGCUCAGAAGCAGCCACCCUUGAAAGAGUGCGUAACAGCUCACUGGUCUAGUGGUUCCGCGCCGACAAUGUAGCGGGGCUCAAGCACACCACCGAAGACGCGGCAGUAUUUUGUACUGGGUAGGAGAGCGUCCCAUGAGGGGCGAAGCGGCCGUGUGAACGCGCCGUGGACUUCAUGGGAGUGAGAAUGCAGACAUGAGUAGCGAGAGACGGGUGAGGAUCCCGUCCGCUGGAUGACCAAGGGUUCCGGGGCCACGUUCGUCGUCCCCGGGUGAGUCGGGUCCUAAGGCGAGGCCGACAGGCGUAGUCGAAUGGAUGAACGGGUGGAUAUUCCCGUACCGACCAUGGACCGGCAAAACCGAGACGGUGAGUACUAACCUCCGCCUCGUGGUGGUUCCUUCCUUCGGGUUGGUGUCGCCGCGUGGUGUUGGGAGCGUAGCCGCAGUAGGUCAGCGCAGGGGUGACACGGAAUGGGAGCCGGCCGCGGAGGUGGUUUUCCGUGGUCAAGCACGCAGCCAGUCAUGUAGGCAAAUCCGCAUGGCGUGCAUGGCGAGGUGUGAUGAUGGGAGCCGUUAUGGUUCGAUAUCCGGUUGUCCAGGCCGUCGAGAAAAGCCUCGGCGUGAGGGCCAUGGCCGCCCGUACCCCAAACCGACACUGGUGGUCAGGUAGAGAAUACCAAGGCGAUCGAGCGAAUCCUGGUCAAGGAACUCGGCAAAUCACUCCCGUGCCUUCGGUAUAAGGGAGACCCGCUGGGGUGAACCGGCUAGCCCGGGGAGCUUUGGUGGGUGGCACAGACCAGGGGGUAGCGACUGUUUACCAAAAACACAGGUGCAUGCGAAGGCGAAAGCCGCUGUAUAUGCACUGACGCCUGCCCGGUGCCGGAAGGUUAAGAGGAUCCGUCAGUCCUUCGGGAUGAAGCGGUGAAUUCAAGCCCCGGUAAACGGCGGUGGUAACUAUAACCAUCCUAAGGUAGCGAAAUUCCUUGUCGGGUAAGUUCCGACCUGCACGAAUGGCGUAAUGAUGGCCAGGCUGUCUCCACCCGAGACUCAGUGAAAUUGAACUCGCUGUGAAGAUGCAGUGUACCCGCGGCAAGACGGAAAGACCCCGUGAACCUUUACUAUAGCUUGACACUGAACAUUGAGCCUUGAUGUGUAGGAUAGGUGGGAGGCUUUGAAGUGUGGACGCCAGUCUGCAUGGAGCCGACCUUGAAAUACCACCCUUUAAUGUUUGAUGUUCUAACGUUGACCCGUAAUCCGGGUUGCGGACAGUGUCUGGUGGGUAGUUUGACUGGGGCGGUCUCCUCCUAAAGAGUAACGGAGGAGCACGAAGGUUGGCUAAUCCUGGUCGGACAUCAGGAGGUUAGUGCAAUGGCAUAAGCCAGCUUGACUGCGAGCGUGACGGCGCGAGCAGGUGCGAAAGCAGGUCAUAGUGAUCCGGUGGUUCUGAAUGGAAGGGCCAUCGCUCAACGGAUAAAAGGUACUCCGGGGAUAACAGGCUGAUACCGCCCAAGAGUUCAUAUCGACGGCGGUGUUUGGCACCUCGAUGUCGGCUCAUCACAUCCUGGGGCUGAAGUAGGUCCCAAGGGUAUGGCUGUUCGCCAUUUAAAGUGGUACGCGAGCUGGGUUUAGAACGUCGUGAGACAGUUCGGUCCCUAUCUGCCGUGGGCGCUGGAGAACUGAGGGGGGCUGCUCCUAGUACGAGAGGACCGGAGUGGACGCAUCACUGGUGUUCGGGUUGUCAUGCCAAUGGCACUGCCCGGUAGCUAAAUGCGGAAGAGAUAAGUGCUGAAAGCAUCUAAGCACGAAACUUGCCCCGAGAUGAGUUCUCCCUGACUCCUUGA